rnacentral:rRNA from 1 species
UACAGAGGGUGCAAGCGUUAAUCGGAAUUACUGGGCGUAAAGCGCGCGUAGGUGGUUUGUUAAGUUGGAUGUGAAAUCCCCGGGCUCAACCUGGGAACUGCAUCCAAAACUGGCAAGCUAGAGUAGGGCAGAGGGUGGUGGAAUUUCCUGUGUAGCGGUGAAAUGCGUAGAUAUAGGAAGGAACACCAGUGGCGAAGGCGACCACCUGGGCUCAUACUGACACUGAGGUGCGAAAGCUAGGGGAGCAAACAGG